rnacentral:rRNA from 1 species
AUUGAACGCUGGCGGCAGGCCUAACACAUGCAAGUCGAACGAGUGGCGGACGGGUGAGUAAUGUCUGGGAAACUGCCUGAUGGAGGGGGAUAACUACUGGAAACGGUAGCUAAUACCGCAUACCAUCGGAUGUGCCCAGAUGGGAUUAGCUAGUAGGUGGGGUAAAGGCUCACCUCGGCGACGAUCCCUAGCUGGUCUGAGAGGAUGACCGGCACAACGGGACCGGAGACACGGUCCGGAUUCCUACGGGAGGCGGCAGUGGGGAAUAUUGGACAAUGGGCGAAAGCCUGAUGAAGACAUGCCGGGGAGAUGAGGAGGGCCUUCGGGUUGUAAGGUACUUUCAGCGGGGAGGCGUUACCCGAAGAAGAAGCACCGGCUAACUCCGUGCCAGCAGCCGCGGUAAUUC